UACGAAGGGGGCUAGCGUUGUUCGGAAUUACUGGGCGUAAAGCGCGCGCAGGCGGUCUUCCAAGUCAGUGGUGAAAGCCCGGAGCUCAACUCCGGAACUGCCAUUGGAAACUGUGAGACUAGAGUACGAGAGAGGUGAGUGGAAUUCCCAGUGUAGAGGUGAAAUUCGUAGAUAUUCGCAAGAACACCAGUGGCGAAGGCGGCUCACUGGCCCGAUACUGACGCUGAGGCACGAAAGCGUGGGGAGCAA
rnacentral:rRNA from 1 species